CCCUUAGAUGUUCUGGGCCGCACGCGCGCUACACUGACGAAUGCAACGAGCUUAUAACCUUGGCCGAAAGGUCUGGGUAAUCUCCAAAUUUCGUCGUGAUGGGGAUAGAUUAUUGCAAUUAUUAAUCUUCAAUGAGGAAUGCCUAGUAAGCGCAAGUCAUCAGCUUGCGUUGAUUACGUCCCUGCCCUUUGUACACACCGCCCGUCGCUCCUACCGAUUGAAUGGUCCGGUGAAGCGUUCGGACCGUGGCCUUUGGACGGUUCGCCGUCUGUUGGCUGCGGGAAGUUCGUUAAACCUUAUCAUUUAGAGGAAGGAGAANUCGUANCA
rnacentral:rRNA from 1 species